AAAUUGCCCAGUCGAGGGGGAUAACAGUUGGAAACGACUGCUAAUACCGCAUACGCCCUACGGGGGAAAGCAGGGGACCUUCGGGCCUUGCGCGAUUGGAUAUGCCCAGGUGGGAUUAGCUAGUUGGUGAGGUAAUGGCUCACCAAGGCGACGAUCCCUAGCUGGUCUGAGAGGAUGAUCAGCCACACUGGAACUGAGACACGGUCCAGACUCCUACGGGAGGCAGCAGUGGGGAAUAUUGCACAAUGGGGGAAACCCUGAUGCAGCCAUGCCGCGUGUGUGAAGAAGGCCUUCGGGUUGUAAAGCACUUUCAGCGAGGAGGAAAGGUCAGUAGCUAAUAUCUGCUGACUGUGACGUUACUCGCAGAAGAAGCACCGGCUAACUCCGUGCCAGCAGCCGCGGUAAUACGGAGGGUGCAAGCGU
rnacentral:rRNA from 1 species